rnacentral:misc_RNA from 1 species
UGUGGGAGCGAGCUUGCUCGCGAUGGCGGUCUUGCAUUCAACAUCGAUGUUGAGUGGUAUGGCCCCAUCGCGAGCAAGCUCGCUCCCACA